ACGUAUGGUGCAAGCGUUAUCCGGAUUUACUGGGUGUAAAGGGUGCGUAGGUGGUGAGACAAGUCUGAAGUGAAAAUCCGGGGCUUAACCCCGGAACUGCUUUGAAAACUGCCUGACUAGAGUACAGGAGAGGUAAGUGGAAUUCCUAGUGUAGCGGUGAAAUGCGUAGAUAUUAGGAGGAACACCAGUGGCGAAGGCGACUUACUGGACUGCUACUGACACUGAGGCACGAAAGCGUGGGGAGCAAACAG
rnacentral:rRNA from 1 species